AUCGCCGCCGCCUCGGAUUCGCUUGGUGCAGGUCGGGAACGCCUCGGAUCGCCGCGCCGCCCGUGAUCGCGCCGCGUUCCCGCCUGCACCAACUGAAUCGGAGCCGGAAACGCGA
rnacentral:pre_miRNA from 1 species